rnacentral:rRNA from 1 species
CCUACGGGAGGCAGCAGUAAGGAAUAUUGGACAAUGGUCGCAAGACUGAUCCAGCCAUGCCGCGUGCAGGAUGACUGCCCUAUGGGUUGUAAACUGCUUUUGUACGGGAAUAAACCCCUCUACGUGUAGAGGGCUGAAUGUACCGUAAGAAUAAGGGUCGGCUAACUUCGUGCCAGCAGCCGCGGUAAGACGAAGGACCCAAGCGUUAUCCGGAUUCAUUGGGUUUAAAGGGUGCGUAGGCGGAUUGAUAAGUCAGUGGUGAAAGCCUGUUGCUUAACAACAGAACUGCCAUUGAUACUGUCUAUCUUGAAUAUGGUUGAUGUGGGCGGAAUAUGACAUGUAGCGGUGAAAUGCUUAGAUAUGUCAUAGAACACCGAUUGCGAAGGCAGCUCACAAAGCCAUUAUUGACGCUGAGGCACGAAAGCGUGGGGAUCAAACAGGAUUAGAUACCCUGGUAGUCCACGCUGUAAACUUUGAUCACUCGCUGUUGGCGAUACACUGUCAGCGGCUAAGCGAAAGCGUUAAGUGAUCCACCUGGGGAGUACGAUCGCAAGAUUGAAACUCAAAGGAAUUGACGGCUUGGAGACGNGCGACGGCGACGACGAGGGGAGGAGG